GACGAACGCUGGCGGCGUGCUUAACACAUGCCAGUCGAACGGAAAGGCCUGCUUUCCCUUGUGGAUUGCGGGUACUCGAGUGGCGAACGGGUGAGUAACACGUGAGUGAUCUGCCCCCAACUUGGGUAUAAGCCUGGGAAACUGGGUCUAAUUCCCGAUAGGACUGCAGGGUGGUGCCUGUGGUGGAAAACGAUUUUCUAGUGGUUGGGGAUGAGCUCGCGGCCUAUCAGCUUGUUGGUGGGGUAAUGGCCUACCAAGGCGGCGACGGGUAGCCGGCCCGAGAGGGUGGACGGCCACAUUGGGACUGAGAUACGGCCCAGACUCCUACGGGAGGCAGCAGUGGGGAAGAUGGCACAAUGGGCGGAAGCCUGAUGCAGCGACGCCGCGGGGGGGAUGACGGCCUUCGGGUUGUAAACUCCUUUCGACCGCGAGGAAGCCACCUGGUUGGAAGGGUGGUGACGGUAGUGGUAGAAGAAGCACCGGCUAACUACGUG
rnacentral:rRNA from 1 species